AAGUCGUAACAAGGUUUCCGUAGGUGAACCUGCGGAAGGAUCAUUAAAAAUAACCGGGCCCGCAAGGGCCAGGGCAGCCCGGCUUCCCACCGCCCUCACCGGCGUUCGGGGACCGGACAGCCUUAAACCCCAUGUGAAAAACCCCUGUUGCUUCGGCAGCGCGUCCCCCCUCGCCGGGGGACGGUCAGCCUGCCGACGGCACCCAAGGAAACCCUUUGCCUGAAAGGAAGCCUGAUACAACGUCUGAGCGCGAAGUUUAAUGACUAUAAAACUUUCAACAACGGAUCUCUUGGUUCCC
rnacentral:misc_RNA from 1 species